AUUGAGCCGGUCCCGGCCAACAAGGCAGUGCUGGAAAAUGCCUCCGUGACCUUGGAGUGCCUGGCUUCUGGCGUGCCCCCUCCAGACAUCUCCUGGUUCAAGGGCCGCCAGCCUGUCUCUGCUCAGAAGGGAGUCACGGUGUCAGCUGACGGGAGAGUUCUCCUCAUUGAGAGAGCCCGACCUUCGGACGCUGGGAGCUACCGCUGUGUGGCGUCCAAUGUGGCGGGUCGCACGGAGCUGCAGUACAGCCUGCGGGUCAAUGUGCCUCCGCGCAUCACGCUGCCGCCCAGCCUGCCGGGCCCCGUGCUGCUCGGUGCCCCGGUCCGGCUGACCUGCAGCGCCACCGGCAGCCCCAGCCCCAC